rnacentral:rRNA from 1 species
GUCGAACGAAGCGCUUAAACGGAUUUCUUCGGAUUGAAGUUUUUGCGACUGAGUGGCGGACGGGUGAGUAACGCGUGGGUAACCUGCCUCAUACAGGGGGAUAACAGUUAGAAAUGACUGCUAAUACCGCAUAAGCGCACAGUGCUGCAUGGCACAGUGUGAAAAACUCCGGUGGUAUGAGACGGACCCGCGUCUGAUUAGCUAGUUGGUGGGGUGACGGCCUACCAAGGCGACGAUCAGUAGCCGGCCUGAGAGGGUGAACGGCCACAUUGGGACUGAGACACGGCCCAAACUCCUACGGGAGGCAGCAGUGGGGAAUAUUGCACAAUGGGGGAAACCCUGAUGCAGCGACGCCGCGUGAGCGAAGAAGUAUUUCGGUAUGUAAAGCUCUAUCAGCAGGGAAGAAAAUGACGGUACCUGACUAAGAAG